UGGCGGCGUGCCUAAUACAUGCAAGUCGAGCGAAUGGAUGGGAGCUUGCUCCCGGAAGUUAGCGGCGGACGGGUGAGUAACACGUGGGCAACCUACCUGUAAGACUGGGAUAACUUCGGGAAACCGGAGCUAAUACCGGAUAACUUCUUUCUUCUCCUGGAGAAAGGUUGAAAGACGGCUUCGGCUGUCACUUACAGAUGGGCCCGCGGCGCAUUAGCUAGUUGGUGAGGUAACGGCUCACCAAGGCAACGAUGCGUAGCCGACCUGAGAGGGUGAUCGGCCACACUGGGACUGAGACACGGCCCAGACUCCUACGGGAGGCAGCAGUAGGGAAUCUUCCGCAAUGGACGAAAGUCUGACGGAGCAACGCCGCGUGAGUGAUGAAGGUUUUCGGAUCGUAAAACUCUGUUAUCAGGGAAGAACAAGUAUCGGAGUAACUGCCGGUACCUUGACGGUACCUGACCAGAAAGCCACGGCUAACUACGUGCCAGCAGCCGCGGUAAUACGUAGGUGGCAAGCGUUGUCCGGAAUUAUUGGGCGUAAAGCGCGCGCAGGCGGUUUCUUAAGUCUGAUGUGAAAGCCCACGGCUCAACCGUGGAAGGUCAUUGGAAACUGGGAGACUUGAGUGCAGAAGAGAAGAGCGGAAUUCCACGUGUAGCGGUGAAAUGCGUAGAGAUGUGGAGGAACACCAGUGGCGAAGGCGGCUCUUUGGUCUGUAACUGACGCUGAGGCGCGAAAGCGUGGGGAGCGAACAGGAUUAGAUACCCUGGUAGUCCACGCCGUAAACGAUGAGUGCUAAGUGUUAGAGGGUUUCCGCCCUUUAGUGCUGCAGUUAACGCAUUAAGCACUCCGCCUGGGGAGUACGGCCGCAAGGCUGAAACUCAAAGGAAUUGACGGGGGCCCGCACAAGCGGUGGAGCAUGUGGUUUAAUUCGAAGCAACGCGAAGAACCUUACCAGGUCUUGACAUCCUCUGACCACCCUAGAGAUAGGGACUUCCCCUUCGGGGGACAGAGUGACAGGUGGUGCAUGGUUGUCGUCAGCUCGUGUCGUGAGAUGUUGGGUUAAGUCCCGCAACGAGCGCA
rnacentral:rRNA from 2 species